rnacentral:rRNA from 1 species
AGAGUUUGAUCAUGGCUCAGGACGAACGCUGGCGGCGUGGAUUAGGCAUGCAAGUCGAACGGUAUAAACCUUUCGGGGUUUAGAGAGUGGCGAACGGGUGAGUAACACGUAGGUAAUCUACCCUCAAAACGGGGACAACCCAGGGAAACUUGGGCUAAUACCGGAUGCGUGCAAGCAAUGUUUUGGCUGUUAAUGCUAUUCACGGAAGUGAGUAGUGUUAAUGGUUGAGAGCAUUAUUUGCAUAAAAGGUGGCAUAUGCUGCCGUUUGAGGAUGAGCCUGCGUCCUAUUAGUUAGUUGGUGAGGUAAUGGCUUACCAAGGCGAUGAUAGGUAGGCGGCCUUAACGGGUGGUCGCCCACACUGGGAUUGAGAGACGGCCCAGACUCCUACGGGAGGCAGCAGUCGAGAAUAGUCUACAAUGGACGGAAGUCUGAUAGUGCGACGCCGCGUGAACGAAGAAUCCCUUCGGGGUGUAAAGUUCUUUUAUACGUGAGCAGUGCCCUUUAUAUGAAUAGUAUAGAGGGGGGAUUUAAGCGUAUGAAUAAGCAACGGCUAACUCCGUGCCAGCAGCCGCGGUAACACGGGGGUUGCAAGCGUUGUCCGGAAUUACUAGGCGUAAAGUGCAGGUAGGCGGAUAGAUAAGUUUAAGGUUAAAGGCUACGGCUUACCCGUAGUAAGGCGUUAGAUACUGUUUAUCUGGAAUGCGGUUGAGGGAGACAGAAUUCCUGGUGUAGCGGUGGAAUGCGCAGAGAUCAGGAGGAAUACCGAAGGCGAAGGCAGUCUUCUAAGCCGAUAUUGACGCUAAACUGCGAAGGUGUGGGGAUCAAACAGGAUUAGAUACCCUGGUAGUCCACACAGUAAACGAUAAUCACUAGGUGUUGGGUUCGUAUAGGACUCGGUGCCGGAGCUAACGCGAUAAGUGAUUCGCCUGGGGAGUACGAUCGCAAGGUUGAAACUCAAUGAAUUGACGG